GCUCCCGUAGCUCAGUCGGAUAGAGCAGCAGUUUCCCUAAACUGCAGGUCGCAGGUUCGAUUCCUGCCGGGGGCG
rnacentral:tRNA from 1 species